UCAUUUGGUUUUAAUUACUGCUGUUUUCCCAAUCUUUUUCACUCAUUCCAUGGAAACUCUGUUUUUGGUUGUCUGUAUUCUAUAAACUAUUGCUGCUAACUUAAUCUCUGUCGGAUGGCUAGAUGCCUUGAAACUUGAAAGUGAGGCGAUGAUGAUAUUUCUCGGUUUCUGUUCUUUCUGUGUUACUUAUCUGGGCAAUUGAGAUUAACUGACCCGUAUCUUGGCGGGGCAACCCGGAAUAAUACCGGGUUUGCAGCCAUGGCGGCGAUGGCUUCUCUUUUGCCCCCAUCAGUAACACGGAGCUGAGCCUCAAAGGUGGUCCGGAAUAUGCCCGGUUCUUGCAGCCUUGGCGAUGUUGGCUUCUCUCUUGCCUCCAUAUGAAAACAAAUCUGAGCCUCAAGCUAUAGGAGACCUGUUCUUUUACGGCCCUAUUACAUUCCAACUUAAAGAAUGAGGCUUUACCGAGAAAUGGAGAUUUUUUUUGGGUGGUUGCACUUCUCUGGUUAGCCUAUGAUUUGCUUUUGUUUCUUCCAUGCAACAGCCCUUCCACACACACAAUAUGUGUGUGUAUGUAUCUGUGGUUCUGUGGAUAUAUUUCAGCAAGGUUUUCCAUACUAUACUCUCAGGUUAGUAAACAGACCCUAAGUGUAAGCUCAAAGAUUGAGGGUUUACAGAGAAAUGGCGAAUUUCCAUAGUUGGUAACUCUUUUCUGGUUAGACCUUGAUUUCCUGUUUUUACUUCUGUGUAAUUGUGUUAUCUAUUCUCAGUUCAGUGUUUGCUUACCUUACAAAUCACAACGUCAAUAUUUGAAAACACAAACCAUGGAAGAGGAAAAGAAAGUUUAUUAUGGGGCAAUGAUGAUAUUCUUUCGAGCAAAGUAAGUGUAUUUUGAUUAUAUGACCCAUGUCUUGGCAUGGCAACCUGGAUUUUCUCAUUGACUAGCUGGGAUUUUGCAGCCAAGGUGGUGUCAAGUGUUUAAAUAUCAGAAUUAUGAAAAUCUGAGCCCCAGUCUCUAUAUACAUUUUAAAGAUGGUACAAGUUUCACUUAGAAAGAUGGCAAAAAUGAAGCGAACCAAGAGCUGGGAUUUCUUCUAAGGGUGGUUGCCCCUCUUGGUUUCAGCUUAUGAUUUCUCUGUUUUCAUUUACAUGAAAUAAAAAACCAACAGCCCUUCAUUUUU